rnacentral:rRNA from 1 species
GACGAACGCUGGCGGCGUGCUUAACACAUGCAAGUCGAACGAUGAAGCUGGAGCUUGCUCCGGUGGAUUAGUGGCGAACGGGUGAGUAACACGUGAGCAAUCUGCCCUUGACUCUGGGAUAACUGCGGGAAACUGUAGCUAAUACCGGAUACGACCCUUGGAGGCAUCUCUGGGGGUGGAAAGAAUUUCGGUCAAGGAUGAGCUCGCGGCCUAUCAGCUAGUUGGUGAGGUAAUGGCUCACCAAGGCGACGACGGGUAGCCGGCCUGAGAGGGUGACCGGCCACACUGGAACUGAGACACGGUCCAGACUCCUACGGGAGGCAGCAGUGGGGAAUAUUGCACAAUGGGCGAAAGCCUGAUGCAGCAACGCCGCGUGAGGGAUGAAGGCCUUCGGGUUGUAACCUCUUUUAGCAGGAGAAGCGAAGUGACGGUACCUGCAGAAAAGACACCGGCUAACUACGUG